ACAAGCCAUGCAUGCCCGCACACCCGGGAGGCGGCGGACGGCUCAGGACAACGGUUGCACCCCCCGCGGCGGUCCCUGCUAGCCGGACACCGCUGACAACCCGGCGCCAAGACGUGCGCGCAAGUGCGGGCGCCCGCGGG
rnacentral:rRNA from 1 species